rnacentral:lncRNA from 1 species
CCACAGUGUGGUGCUUGGCUCUGCUCCUCACCAUCCCGUGCCCAAAACCAGCCUCCUGCAGCCGAAAUCUGCUUGGCAUCGGUGGGCUUUAAGCACUGCCUCGUGCCCUCUGAGCCCAGCUCCCCAGGUAUGGCAACUGGGUGUUACUCCUGCGGGGGAUGCGAUCAGUGAUAAAUUCAGGGUCACGGUGUCUCCCUUGGCGUAACCACCUGAAGGAAAAUCCAUACAAAGAGACAUCAGGACCUUUGAGGCAGAAUUGACAAGUGCCACUUGGUUUUGGAGCAGAGCCCGGACACGGGGCACAUCCCGUUGCAAGAGGGUGCAAAAUACUCCAGGUAACGCCCCCCCUGUGACAUCCCGAGGUGCUGGGGGUGCUUUGGUGCAAAUAUAACGACUGAUGGAGCGUUAUUUGUGCCCUGUGCUCUCCGGAGCCUCCCCUUGGCACUCAACAGGAGCUGCUGCGUGCUUCAGCUUGGGCACUGUGGCCUCGAUUCCCAAACUCCUCCAACCCACCAAGGGCUGCUGUCGGCAUUCCCAGGGCUUCGCAGCCGGGAAAUAGCAGCCAUCUCUGCGGAGAGCCUGAUGUCACAAGAUUUUUCAGCCUGAUUUCCAGAGCAGCAGUCUGGAUACGCUUCAAACCUCUUGACUGCUUUUUCCAACCAGCGUUGUUGCUUAGGAUUUUGGGGGGGAUUUUUUUCUUUUUUUUUUUUUUUUUUUUUUUUCCGGGCUCUCCCUUCCCCUGCUCUCAGCCUGUCUUGCGGAGCUGCCGAUUGAGCAAUCGGUGUCUGUUCCUUAGACACGUCACUGUGGAAACGUGGAAAUUCCUGAGAUUGCUGGUGGGGACCCACACGAAAUCGGGCUGGGGAGGAGGAGGAGGAGAAGGAGAGGAGGAGGAGGAGGCAGCUGCCCAGGAGAUGGGUUUGCUGCAGGAGCAAAUCCUUUCUGCUUGUCCUCUCUGGGAGCAGCCACUUCCAAGGGCUGGCUGUCAAGAAGAUUUGCGAGGGGCUGUUCUUCUCCCCUCUCCUUUUUACGUGACCACCAGCACCAGCCGGCCCCACAGAGGAACACAGCUUGCGCGGGGCUGAGCAGGACACAGCGCGCUCUUUUGCAAUCAGCUUGGCUCGGGAUUGCAAAAAAAAAAAACAAAAAAAGCCUUUUUAAUUUUUUUUCCCCCAAAAAAAUUAAAAAAGGAGUUGUUCCAGUGGCUGCCUGUCACAAGGGGAAGAGGGGUGGGAAUGAGGUGCCAGUUUCACAGCGCUUCUUGCUGAUGCUGAAAUUCUCCCCUCUUGCUUUCAGGAUGAAGCCACGCCAGGCACAUGGGGGCUCAUUUCGCUCUCCCCAGCAGCAGAUGCUUUUGUGCUUGGCGGCCAAACCCAAAAAUCUGCCUUGGCCUACUGGGAAAUGGGAGUACCGUCAGCACCAUAAAGGAUUACGUCUCGGCCCUGGUGUUGAGUCCUGUGGUUUUCACCAGCAGCCUCGUAGCUUGCUCGCAUCCAAGGUCAGCACGGGGAUCCAUUUGGGGGAAUUAUUUAGACAAAGCUCUGCAGGGCUGAUGUGUGCCAUGCUGACCCUGUGUUGGAGACCCGUACCAAGUCUCAGUGAGGUUCAGACCGAGCAGGCUGGAGCAGGACGGGGAGGCCAAGUCACCUCUCCGCUGACAGUGAGUGUUUUUACGAGAUGUCCUGGCAAUUAGUGGAAGAAGAGACGCAGCUGUCGAUGCACUGAAAGAUACAGUUUACAGGGAGUGAUAAUAUCUUUUAUUAGGCUCCAGAAAGCAGGAUUUGGGGCACAUGAGUCCUGUUCUGAGCUGCAGCUGAGGGUGUGAGAGCAUCAGCCCCGCCACGGGGCACAUCCUCCAGGGACUCACUGGGGCUCUGUGCCCCUGGGACAGACCUGAGCUCCCCAGGGUGCAGAGGCUUUGCUUCCAGUGGGGCUUUUAUUUCAGCUUAUGGGGAAAUGCUGCUUUGAGACCAGGUUUUAGUUCUCUGCUGUCUCAUUAUAGAGCAGGUGUUGAAGAUUGAUGCUGUACCUCUCAAAACAAAGGCGUAGGCAUCAUCAGAUGGUGUGCGAGACGUUUGAUAUUAAGGGUAGAAGCCUGUCCUUUGAGCCAACUAGUAAGCAAAAAACUGGGAAAUUAAUGGCUUCUCAAGCUUUUAAUUUUUGAUGCAGAUUUAGAUGGGGUGUCCUGCUUAAAGGAUGGUGUCCCUGGACUGCAUCAUCCUUUGCUUCACACAUCCAUCCCUUGAAUUCCUCAACACAGUGACUGCUGCGUGUCCUGUAGGAUGCUGUGAAGCAAUGGUUUCACCUAGGGCGGCUUGAACAAGAACACCUUAAUUAGGAUUGAGUUUGUAAGGAAGGGAAAACAGCAAGCACAGGGUUUAGAGAAGCAUUUGGAGGUUUUCAUGCUUUCUUUUUUUUUGUCCCCUGGCAACGAACCCAAGAGGAGAAGCGCAUCGCUUCGUUGGGGCGGUGCUGAGCGGGACGCCUGCCCCGAGCUAUUUUUACUCCUGGUCGCGUCCUGCAGCCACGCUGGCAGAUGCUCUCCCAGCUGCAGAUGACUUCCAUGUGUAACCCCUUUUGGCUGCUGGCUGGGGGCCUAGGGCGUAGCUUGCUGCCUUGCAGGGCUCCUCAGAGCAGGGCCAUGCCCAACACCCUGGGGGUCAGCAGCAAUGGGGGUCCCUUCCCAGCCCGCACCUUCCUGAAGCCUUCCCUGGAUCAUCCAGGUUGGGAAAAGGGUAGGGUGGAAAGGAUGAAUCACGGGUCAUUUUAACCUGGGUGCUCCCAGAUUGAAAGGAGAGGUUGU